rnacentral:rRNA from 1 species
UAUUAGGGAAGAAUAAAUGAUGGAAAAAUCAUUCUGACGGUACCUAAUGAAUAAGCCCCGGCUAACUAUGUGCCAGCAGCCGCGGUAAUACAUAGGGGGCAAGCGUUAUCCGGAAUUAUUGGGCGUAAAGGGUGCGUAGGCGGUUAAAUAAGUUUAUGGUCUAAGUGCAAUGCUCAACAUUGUGAUGCUAUAAAAACUGUUUAGCUAGAGUAAGAUAGAGGCAAGUGGAAUUCCAUGUGUAGUGGUAAAAUGCGUAAAUAUAUGGAGGAACACCAGUAGCGAAGGCGGCUUGCUGGGUCUUUACUGACGCUGAGGCACGAAAGCGUGGGGAGCAAACAGGAUUAGAUACCCUGGUAGUCCACGCCGUAAACGAUGAGUACUAAACGUUGGGUAAAACCAGUGUUGAAGUUAACACAUUAAGUACUCCGCCUGAGUAGUACGUACGCAAGUAUGAAACUUAAAGGAAUUGACGGGACUCCGCACAAGCGGUGGAUCAUGUUGUUUAAUUCGAAGGUACCCGAAAAACCUCACCAGGUCUUGACAUGCUUCUGCAAAGCUGUAGAAACACAGUGGAGGUUAUCAGUUGCACAGGUGGUGCAUGGUUGUCGUCAGAUAGUGUCGUGAGAUGUUGGGUUAAGUCCCGCAACGAGCGCAACCCUUAUUGUUAGUUACCAGCACGUAAUGGUGGGGACUUUAGCAAGACUGCCAGUGAUAAAUUGGAGGAAGGUGGGGACGACGUCAAAUCAUCAUGCCCCUUAUGACCUGGGCUACAAA